GCUCCUAGGGCAGGACAUGCAUGGCUAAGGAAUGUAGUAAUAAGGUGAACAUGGACAGAAGAGGGACUGAAGGAAAGAGAAGAAAAAGGAGAAACUAAGGACAAGGGCUUCAGAUGAAGAGCUCCUAAACACUCCUAAAGACUACCAGUUACACAGGUCAUACAAAUUGGUCCUAUUAACAACCGAAGAAAGGAGAACAAACUUAGGUUAUGGACUUGAAAGGAUAAAGCCAAGCAAAAGAUUGAAGUGCUGCCUGUGUGGACAGCACCUCACUGCUCCUUCCUCACCAAGACAAUACUGAGGGGAAGAAAGGCCAGUUGACUGAAUCUAAAUUAUGCUACCAAAAAUCUCUAAGGGGGGAAAAUACAAUGAAAUAAUAAAUUAACACUGGGAAAAGUCAACAAAAAUACCCUUAAGGAAGAAAGUCUCAGGCCCAGAACCAAGACCAAAGGUGCUGCCAGGAUUUGCCACGUACCUUCAUGUGGGAGUGGGACGCACCCUUGGCUGGGUGGAGGAUGCCUAGCAUAGG
rnacentral:lncRNA from 1 species